AGUGAACGCUGGCGGUAGGCCUAACACAUGCAAGUCGAACGGCAGCACAGGAAAGCUUGCUCUCUGGGUGGCGAGUGGCGGACGGGUGAGGAAUACAUCGGAAUCUACUCUGUCGUGGGGGAUAACGUAGGGAAACUUACGCUAAUACCGCAUACGACCUACGGGUGAAAGCAGGGGAUCUUCGGACCUUGCGCGAUUGAAUGAGCCGAUGUCGGAUUAGCUAGUUGGCGGGGUAAAGGCCCACCAAGGCGACGAUCCGUAGCUGGUCUGAGGGGAUGAGCAGCCACACUGGAACUGAGACACGGUCCAGACUCCUACGGGAGGCAGCAGUGGGGAAUAUUGGACAAUGGGCGCAAGCCUGAUCCAGCCAUACCGCGUGGGUGAAGAAGGCCUUCGGGUUGUAAAGCCCUUUUGUUGGGAAAGAAAUCCAGCUGGCUAAUACCCGGUUGGGAUGACGGUACCCAAAGAAUAAGCACCGGCUAACUUCGUGCCAGCAGCCGCAGUAA
rnacentral:rRNA from 1 species